GCCCCGGUAGCUCAAAUGGGAAGAGUGGCGUUGCGCAACCACCGCUCGUCAUGCGGUGAACAAUGACAGCAGGAUUCGGGUUCAAAUCCCGACCGGGGCA
rnacentral:tRNA from 1 species